GGUCAGUUGGCUGAGAGGGUAAGCGGCGGACUGUUAAUCCGCGUCGGUAACGACAAGGCAGGUUCGAUACCUGCACUGACCGCCA
rnacentral:tRNA from 2 species